AAUCUGGUUGAUCCUGCCAGUAGUCAUAUGCUUGUCUCAAAGAUUAAUCCAUGCAUGUGUAAGUAUAAGUAUUGUACAGCGAAACUGCGAAUGGCUCAUUAAAUCAGUUAUUAUUUAUUUGAUAAUCGAAAGUUACAUGGAUAACCGUGACAAAUUACAGCUAAUACAUGCAGUCAGACCUGGUCCAAGGGUCGUAGUUAUUAGUAUUAAACCAUUUCCGCAAGGAGUGUGAUGAAUCAUAAUAACCGAACGAAUCGCCUGUUGUGCGAUAAAUCAUUCAAGUUUCUGCCCUAUCAGCUUUGGAUGGUAGUGUAUUGGACUACCAUGGCAAUCACGGGUAACGGAGAAUUAGGGUUCGAUUCCGGAGAGGGAGCCUGAGAAACGGCUACCACAUCUACGGAAGGCAGCAGGAGCGAAAAUUGCCCAAUCCUGACACGGGGAGGCAGUGACAAGAAAUAUCAACUCUUGGAUUUCUAAGAAGUGAAAUGAGGAUAAUUUACAACCCUUACCGAAAGCAAUUGGAGGGCAAGUCUGGUGCCAGCAGCCGCGGUAAUUCCAGCUCCAAUAGCGUAUAUUAAAGUUGUUGCAGUUAAAAAGCUCGUAGUUGAAGUUCUGGCUGUUCGAUCCUCGAGCUCUGUAGCCGAGGAUUCGGCAGCCAUCCGCCUGCAAAUAUUAGUUCGCCUUUUACCGGGUGGCUAUAUGAGCAGGCAAUUUACCUUGAGAAAAACAGAGUGUUCCAGGCAGGUUUGUCCGGAAUGCGUUAGCAUGGAAUAAUAGAAUAUGACUGAAGUCGAUUUAUUGGUUUGAGGCUUUAGUAAUGAUUAAUAGGAACAGUCGGGGGCAUUGGUACUUGACAGUCAGAGGUGAAAUUCUAGGAUUUGUCAAAGACUAACAAAUGCGAAAGCAUUUGCCAAGGAUGUUUUCAUUAAUCAAGAACGAAAGUUAGGGGAUCAAAGACGAUCAGAUACCGUCCUAGUCUUAACUAUAAACUAUACCGACUCGGAUUCGGAUGAAUCAAAAAGUUCAUUCGGGACCGUAGGAGAAAUCAAAGUUUUUGGGUUCUGGGGGAAGUAUGGUCGCAAGGCUGAAACUUAAAGGAAUUGACGGUUUUGCACCACCAUGGAGUGGAGUCUGCGGCUUAAUUUGACAACACUGGGAAACUCAUCAGGGCAAGAAGAUUUUAGGAUUGACAGAUUGAGAGUUCUUUCUUGAUUGGUCUAGUGGUGGUGCAUGGCCGUUCUUAGUUGGUGGAGUGAUUUGUCUGGUUAAUUCCGUUAACGAACGAGACCUUAACCUGCUAACUAGUACGUCGAUGAAUAAUCGUCGUUACUUCUUAGAGGGACUAUGUGAUGUAAUCACAUGGAAGUUUGAGGCAAUAACAGGUCUGUGAUGCCCUUAGAUGUCCUGAGCCGCACGCGUACUACAAUGGUGCUUUCAGCAAGCUUUUCCUGAUCCGAAAGGAUUUGGGUAAUCUUUUUAGUGAGCACCGUGCUUGGGAUAGAUCUUUGUAAUUAUGGAUCUUGAACUAGGAAUUCCUAGUAAGCACGAUUCAUCAUAUCGUGCUGAUUACGUCCCUGCAAAAUGUACACACCG
rnacentral:rRNA from 1 species